rnacentral:lncRNA from 1 species
CGCUGCGGCCUCUGCCCUCCAGAUUCCGCCUCUGGGCCGUCGCGGGGCGUAGGCGUCAGCCCCUGAUUGGGCCGAGCCUGGGAACGAAUUCCUUGCGGCCUGGAAACUUCCAGAGUGGUCCUUGGAGCUCAGCGCAAGUGGACACUGUUGUGGCCUGCGGUCCUUGUGCGGCCCGGCCCAGCCCGGGCGGCAGGAGGCAGGGAAGGAGGGAGAGCUGCUUUGUGGGGACUGCCAUGCAGCCUCAUGGGCGCUGGGUCUACCGGACACCCCGCGCUCUGCAUCACAGAGACCCAAGUACACCCCAGGUCUAUCCUGGUAAAAGUCCGGGUUCUCUUAUGAACGCGAAGGUAAUAAUGACCUCAUGGCCUUAUUUGGAAACUUAGACAUGUCAUCACCUGUCCAGCUGUCAGCACCUCCACCGAUGUGUUGAAGAGCUUGUCCUCCGGAUGCUUGAUGUUCCCGCUUCGGAAGAAGAGCCGUUCAAGGCGCAGUGGCUAGAAGAAACGGAAGCGGUUGAAGUCCCCUGUGGCAGGUGUGAAUGCCCAGAAAAAGUCCUCACGCAGGGUUGCAGACCUUCACCCACAGAAUGGGGUCCAGGACCCAGUCGAUGGGCUUGUCCCGGUAGAACAUGAGGAUGAACUCCACAAUGAGGCUCAGGUCCAGGGACUUGAACAUCUUCCCAGUGAAGCCCAACUGCGAGAACUCCAGGAUCAUCCAGUCCUCCGAGGGCUGCUGCAGGGCGAAGUUCUUCAUGGUGCUCAGGUAGUUGGGCUUGGCUACGAUGUCAUCUUCCAGCUGCACAUAGUAGACGCCUUUGGACUGCGCGUGUAUCAUGAGGAAGCAGUAAUCAAGGUUCUGCUUGGUCCUCCACCUGACUCUCUCCUUGGGGUCCCCGAAGGACUCUCUCAGGCGGGAGAAGUCAGGGUAGAAGUGGGGGGAAGGGGAGAUGACCUCCAGGAGUCCGGAACGGAUCUCUGUGGGGAACAAGGCCUUGAUGUUCUCUGUCACUGCCGAUGUAUACUGAGGGUCAGUCUCGGCGAUCAGCACCACGAUGACCGAGUCCUCCUUCUCCUGCGGGCUCAGCUCGGAGAUGAGCGAGUGCAGCGUGUCCGUCAGGUGCGGCAGGUGGUAGAAGACAGUGGGCAGGUGCAGCACGUGCCAAUGCGAUGCAUUCCGGGGCUUCAGCCGCGGGUCCUCUGCCAGGCGGCCCCAGGUGCGGUUGCCUUCCCCGUCCCGCAGCGCCUGCUUCUUGGACACGGCCCUCUUGAUUUCGUCCAGCACCAGGUUGAGCUCCUUGGAGUGCUCCACCGCGUGCAGGCGAGGCGGUCCCGUGCAGCGCCAGAAACUCCCGCUGGUAAACGUCCACCACGUCGCCUUUCUGGCCGCCGAGCGCUGCGUACCAGGACAGGGAGAGGAAGGCGCACAGGCAGAAGAGCAGCAGCGACAGGAAGGUGCCCUGGCGGAGCCUCAUCUCCCGGAGGCGGCAUGGCCCGGACGGGCGGCGGGGGGCGCGGACAAACUCAGAUUUAA